UUCCAUUCUAUCGAUUCAUUCCUGAAUUUCAUGAAUUAAUUUUUUUAUAAUGUCAAAAUAAAUGUUAUCCUAAUCUCCGUAUCUUCAAAACCAACCGGCCAUUUUCCUUCUCCUCCUUCUGUCACCAUUUACCUUUUGUCACGAUCUCCUCCGUCAACCACAACCCUUCGCCAUUGGUUCUUGGUCUUCUCCGUCAGCCUAACACUUUAUCUUCAAAACUAGUCGGCGAUUUUCCUUCUCCUCCCUCUGUCGCGAUUUCCCUUCCGUCGCAAUCUCCUCCAUCAACCGUAGUCCUCCGUCACUGGUAUCUCUUGUUCUCCUUCGGCCAGGUUCUUGGAUUUUUCUCUGCCCAACCGUCUGACGUUAAGGUUCAUCGGAUCAAUAUUCUUACACAGUUGGUGGUUCUUUUCAUACCCAAUUUUUAAAAGUGUUGUGCAUCUCUGAACUAGGUUUUGAUGGUGGCAUACAAACCUGAAAAUCACACUGAAAUUCCCUCAAAAAAAACUAGAGUUUUAAGUUGAUUCAUUUUCCGGUUAAAUUAGAAAAGUUGGGUUUUUCUGUUCGUCUCUUCUUGAGAUUUAGCCUAUGGCAAUGAUGCAAAGAAGUUCUAAAAUCAAAUAAUGUGAAUGAUCCUUAGUCUAAAUCAUGAUAAGUACACAAAGAAGAAACAAUAAAUAAAUGUAACAUAUAGCUUACCAGAGCAGGAAUGAAUACAAACAAGGAAUAGCCAUAUAAACACCAAAGUUGAACGAGAGCAGAUGGUGUUGAGAAGUAUGUAAGUAUGAUGAAUAAACCAAGGGGGACAAAGGUGACAUAGCCAUAGAAUAAACCAGCAGACUAAGUGGCCAAAUUGAUAUCAUAGUCCCACUCUUUAUGCUGCAACUUGUGUGCUAAAUAUGUGACAAAUGUGCCAAUGGCCGUUGCCACAGAUCAAAGUGGUGCAUAUCCAGAAUGGACCAUAUCUGCAAAAGUAGCAAAAGCAGUUAAAACUCUAGACUGCUAUCGCAACUUGUUCAUCUCAUCUAGGCUGAAAGCUUCAAGAAAAAAAACAAGUAUGAUGAAUAGUAAUACAAUGGAUGACUAUAACCAAGAGACAAGUGAUAUGAAAUACGGAAGAGGCAAGAACAAGCGAUUUUGGACCGAGGAGGAAAGCUGGGUCUUAAUUAGAUGUUUACAAGAUAUGACCACUGAUCCUCUAUGGAAAAUAGAUGGUGGUUUUAAGAACAAUUACAUGAACAAGAUAAAAAUGUUGGUGGUGCAAAAGUUGCCCUAGUUGACAAUCGAAGUGAAGCACAUUGACUCUAGGAUCAAGUUCUUGAAGGGAAGGUACAAUGCUAUUAAUGAAAUGUGCAAGCAGAGUGGUUGUUCCUAGAAUGAUGUUGAAAAAAAGAUUGCAUGUGAAUUUACAUAAUAUACUGAAUGG